rnacentral:rRNA from 1 species
AGUAUAAACGAGUAAUAAAUGGAUAAUUAGGAUGUUAUAAUAAGACGUUAUUAAUACGAAAAAUCAAUGAAGAAAGGAUGAAAUUGAGGUUCUAUGGGCAACACAAUUAUAAGUUGUAUUUAGGAAUUGAAACAUCUUAGUACUAAGAGGAUAAAUCAAGCGAGAUUUCGUGAGUAGUGGCGAGCGAAAGCGGAGGAAGAGAUAUGUCUUGUAACAAUUAAAUUCAAAGAGGGUGACAGCCCUGUUAGUUGUUGAAAUUAGUUUGAGAUAUAAGAGUAGAAUUAUUUGAAGAUAGGUGUUCCACACAUCUAAGAUUAAACAUUAUAACAUACCGAAAGUUUAUUAGUACUGUGAGGGAAAGUUGAAAGAGAUUAAAGUUGGAUGAAAUAGAUUUUGAAAUUUGUUACUCAUAAGCAAACGAUAUUCGUUGUACCUUUUGAAUAAUGGGUUCGUAAGAGAAAUAUUUGGCAAACUUAAGUUUAUAGACGUAGGUAUAGUGAAAACGAGCUUUUUGAGCAUUAGUCAAAUAGACCCGAAACCAGGUGAUCUAGUUAUGAGCAGUUUGAAACUUUCUUAAUAGAGGGAGGAGGAACGAACCGGUGAUUGUGGCAAAAAUCUCGGAGGACUUGUGGCUAGCGGUGAAAAGCCAAUCGAACUUGGAAUAGCUGGUUUUCCGCGAAAACUAUUUAAGUAGUGCGUCGUUGUAGAGAUAUUAGGUUUCUUAUACAGUAAAGCACUGAAUGGACAUAUCUAUAGGGUGUGUAAAAUCAAACUAUGAAAGUAUAAGAAAAAAACGAUAGACAGACAAUAGGCGAGAAGGUUUAUUGUCAAAAAGGGAACAACCUAGAUCAGAAGUUAAGGUCAUUAAUAAUAUUGCUAAGUAGGAAGAGGUAUAUAUGCUAGAUUAAGACAAUGAGAAAGUAGGCUUGGAGCCAGCCAUCUUUGAAAGAUUACGUAAUAGUUCACUCAAUAAAUUAAUAAACCUCGAAGAUUAUGGUGGUUAAGCAGUUACCAAAACUCUGAAUAUUGAAUAUAGUUGUAUAGUGGUAGCGGAACGUUCUGUAAUUGAUAUAGAAGUAUUGCGGAAGCAUAUCUGAAGUGAUAAUGCGAACAUGAGUAAAAAACAGUGUGAGAAUCACUGUUCAUGACCCAAGGUUUCCAAUAGGAGGAUUGUCCGAAUUGGGUUAUACAGCCCCUAAGAGAAAGUAAUUUGUAAUUGAGUAAUGAUGGGAGAAAAGAACAAGUGUAAGAAAUUAUUUUUAUUAGGCUGUACUAAAACUAACACAAGUGGGUAAAAAGUGAUGGUAGAAUUUAUCUUAAGGAACUCGGCAAAAUAAUCCUGUAAGUUCGCAAGAAAGGGUGUCUAUUAUUGAUUUAGUGUUGGCAAAUAGAAUUGAGCGCCAGUUAGUAAUAGAUUUCAAAAAAGAGGGGGUGUCGACUGUUUACCAAAAACAUAGCUUUCAGUAAGGGUUUAGCCUGAAGUAUUGAAGGUGAGGCCUGCCCAAUGAUUGUAUCCGAAACCAGAUGGUGAUUAAGCUAUUUGGGUAAGGACAAUUAAAUGGCCGCGGUAAAACUGACCGUGAUAAUGUAGCGCAAUCAAUAGCCAAUUAAUUGUUGGCAAGUAUGAAUGGCGUAACGAAUGCCCCACUGUCUCAAGAUAAAAACCAAUGAAAUUGAAAUCGUAGUGAAGAUGCUACGUUCAAAUUGUAAGACGAGAAGACCCCAUUGAGCUUUACUGGAGGCUUAUAUCGUUUUUUUUUAGUUUAGAUGUAGACUAUGCGGGUGUAGUAAGGACUUAAUAAUGAAAAACCGCUUAAAACUAUAAAAGAACUUAUUGCUAUAAGCAAGAAAAGUGUAAGUUAGACAGUUUGGUUGGGGCGACCGCCUUCUAAAGAGUAACGAAGGCGCACAUAAGGUGAACAGGUAAUAGUGUAAAGUAAGGCUUGACAGUGAGGAGGACUUCCGAGCUGACACGGGUAGAAUCCGAAAUUAGGAUUCUAUUUUGUGGGUUAUAAUGACCCGUUAAUUAAGAGUGGGAUUGUUAACGAGCAACGAAUAAAAGUUACCAUGGGGAUAACAGCGUAAUAUCGUUUGAGAGCUCAUAUCGACGACGAUGUUUGCGACCUCGAUGUUGAAUUGCGAUAUCCUGGAGGUGCAGCCGUUUCCAAGGGUUGGACUGUUCGUCCAUUAAAAUCGUACAUGAUUUGAGUUCAGACCGGCGUGAGCCAGGUCGGUUUCUAUCUACAAUUUGUUAAGGAAACAUAAAAUAUAAGAAAAAAGAGUCCCACCAUUAUAUGUCAGUCGUAAUCACUCAACGUGAAUUGCGAUGUGGAAACAUGUCUAGUGUACCAGAGGUAAAUGU